UAAGUGUGCUCAUGCACCACAUGCACGCUAAUUGUGGCACGGGCACUGAACGCGUAGCCAAACACAAUUAACGUUCGCCUCCAUUCCACCAAGCAUUUGCUGGAAACUCGGACUGCUAAACUAAAAUUAAUAAAACAACGGCAACUAGAUCCCAAAGUAAGAAUCUUUGAAACGAACCAACAAUGAUGCAAAUUUAUGACGUUAAUGGAGCGUCGGGCCCGCCGUGUACUGCAUACGUUUGACUUGACUUUUACUCUCCACGCCGCUGCCCACACGGCGGCGGCUUCCCGUAUCAUCCAGAAGUAAUUCAAUUACAGUGGAGACUGUUUGGUGAACAGACGGAAGCUUAAGCAUUAACAUAAUUCCAGAGUGUGAGGCACACUCCAGUCUGUGGUGAGCCUUCACCACACGCACACCCAUCUAACCCAAAACCAACUGAGCAUCUCUGAGAAUUUAAUUAUCUUUUUUUUUUUCGGGGGCUCUUGUAGCAUUUUAGUGAGUAAUGGUUGGGAUUUGCAGCUCCCAAUCCUCCAUUUACAUGUCAAAACCUCCCCGGGCUCUGGAUGUAAAGAACACAAUUUGGAAUGACAAAGCUCAGGCAGACACAGCUGAUCCACAAAAGAAGGGCUGGUUAAGUUCUUCCUCCCAGUCACCAGCUGCUCCACUGACCCACAGAACCCCCACUUGGCGCAUCGCGGCAGCGCUGCCACGUGUGAGGAGCUCGCCGCUCAUCAAUCUCAUUUGCUUCCAUUGAUUAUGUUAUCGGGACACUCAUUUAGCAACAUUGUGUUCACAUUCGCUUUUUAUUCACUCAAUUUGCUACCUGAUUGGACGCAAAUGUUUUUCCAAAGGAUCGGCACUCGCCAGCCAAAUAACAAAUAGAUGCAACAAUCGCUUUGUCAACAUAUUCCGUGCCUGCUGGACGCUCUUAUGUCAUUUAUUUGGGUCCUGACACUUAGUUCAGAAAAUGGAACAAGGUUGCACAACAAGCUAAUCCCCUCGCUGUUGCGUCUUUAGUGCGAUUAUGUAAACUCCAGAUGAGUCAAACCUUCCCUUUCAUGCCUUUUGUUUAUUCCAUCAGGCAGGACGAGGUGAACGUCGCCAUCAUCGAUUUGUUCUAACACCAGCGUGCGCAGCGUCCAUCACACGGGCGCGGGCUCUAUUUGUGUCCAAAGUGGUUAAGGGAUGUGUCACCUCCCUGCAUUGUGCAAUGCAAAGACAGGAUCCGGGCCGGAGCGGCGCCCAUUGUGUUUUUCUUGGAUUUGGCCGUCACUUCCAAAAGGACUCGAACAUUUCGGUUUCCGUAAUCGAGGCUGGAGAGUACCCGACUGCUUGUUCUAAGUGAGACAAGCGCCGGGGCCUGAGCCCAGAUGGUCAGGUAGAGCCGACUCCUGUCAAUGUGAGGAGGAGGAUUAUUUAAGUCGAUUUAAAACGGGGACGCGUUUCAUUAGCGUCACCGGUGGCAGCACUAUAAAUGGAGCAGAAGCCCGCAGAAACAGACGCGCAGGGAUGAAAAUAGCCUCUAAUAGCCCCGUUUGGGGAGCUUGAUUCCAUUCCGCUCUCCUGCCACGAGGAUAGUGACAGACGGCGCACGCUCAGCUGAGAGCAGCUCCAUUCACCCAAUCGCCGCGCUCCCUCGGGCCUACGGGGAAGGAGGUCACUGGUUGGAAAAGCAUCUUCAAAUUGAAGAGAGAGCAACAGCUCUAUACUCCACAUCUUUGUUUUUCCUGCCUCAACAUCGGACAUCCCGCUCAACACGCUACAAAAUGAAACUUAAAACGCACGGCAAAAGGGAUUGGAUUGUAGUUGUGGCAGUUAGCUGCUUAUCGUGUAUAAUUUCACAGUCUCAUUGAGUGUGUUUCAUUGUUGAACUCAUUCUUUUAGUAGAAACUUGGGAGUGUUCAUCUCUUCCCGUAGUUUUAUAUGUUGUGUUUUGUUUGAGUUAAAGUUUUAAAGCAUUCACAUGAUCAAAAGCUACAACAAAAAAACCCAUCAUGUGUUAGCUUCUAAUGUUAAUUGUUGAUAAGAAUGCCACAUACUAUUUAUUAUAAGAAACAAGCAGAUAUUAUGUGAUAACUGGCUGCUAGGGUUAGCGAAAUGUUUGGCCUAAAAAAGGAUGUGUGGAACAUUAUAGCCAAUUAGUGACACCUCGCCCCAUGUGGUACUUCUAACACGUGGAGAAAAAUAUUUAUUUGGCAAUACUUGUUGAUUGGCACCUGCUUUCCAUAUUCAUAAACAGAUUUUCAUUUUCUUACAAACACCGGCGUGAGCUGUCAAUCUUUAUUGUGCGCUAACUGCAGAUUGUUGAUGGGGACGAUGCUGCAAUAAGUGACUUUGGGAGAGACGUGGCUGAGACAAAGGGAGGCAAACGUUGUUGUGUGAUGCUUCUUUGUGUAGGUGAGCCUCCCUCAGGUAUUGCUCCUCCCGCCAGCGAGCUCUUUUAUUCCGUGCUGCGGCACAAACAGGCAAAAGUCCAAGGGGGAAAGCAGCAGUCUGUCAGUUCUGAAGCUUAGUUGAAGGCUGCCCCUCCCCCCACAACACAACAAUGACUCUCUCUCUCUCUCUCUCUCUCUCUCUCUCUCUCUCUCUCUCUCUCUCUCUCUCUCUCUC